UGAGGGAAAGAUGAAAAGAACUUUGAAAAGAGAGUCAAAAAGUACCAUUAC
rnacentral:rRNA from 1 species